rnacentral:misc_RNA from 1 species
GAUGAAGAACGUAGCGAAAUGCGAUAAGUAAUGUGAAUUGCAGAAUUCAGUGAAUCAUCGAAUCUUUGAACGCACCUUGCACUCCUUGGUAUUCCGAGGAGUACGCCUGUUCGAGUGUUAUGAAGCUCUCAAAACGCAAUUGGCUAAAAACCUGAUUGUUGUUUUGGAUUUGAACUUUGCCGUGUUAUAACGGCUGGUUUUAAAAGUAUUAGCUGGUACUAGAACGAAUUGGUUCUACUCAACGUGAUAAUUAUCUGAUCGUUGAGGACAUUCCUUUCACGAGGAAUGGCCAUAGUAAAUUCAAUGGCCUGCUUCUAAUCUGGCUUUAAUUCUUUAUUGGAUUAACCACUUUUCAAAUCUAACCUCGAAUCAGGUGGGACUACCCGCUGAACUUAAGCAUAUCAAUAAGCGGAGGA